rnacentral:rRNA from 1 species
AUUGAACGCUGGCGGCAGGCCUAACACAUGCAAGUCGAGCGGAGCGGCAGACGGGUGAGUAAUGCCUAUGAAUCUGCCUGGUCGUGGUGGAUAACGUCCGGAAACGGGCGCUAAUACCGCAUACUAUCAGAUGAGCCUAGGUCGGAUUAGCCAGUUGGUGGGGUAAAGGCCUACCAAGGCGACGAUCCGUAACUGGUCUGAGAGGAUGAGCAGUCACACUGGAACUGAGACACGGUCCAGACUCCUACGGGAGGCAGCAGUUGGGAAUAUUGGACAAGGGGCGAAAGCCUGAUGCAGCCAUGCCGCGUGUGUGAAGAAGGUCUUCGGAUUGUAAAGUACUUUAAGUUGGGAGGCGUUACCCACAGAAUAAGCACCGGCUAACUUCGUGCCAGCAGCCGCGGUAAUUC